ACGACCUUACUUGAACAGGAUCUGUUCUAUAGGCAUGUACAUCUGUUUCCUUGAUUUCUCAAGAGACAGGCCCUUAAUCCUGGUUGAUGAACCAUGACCGUGCGAUCAGAGCGUGAUUAACGGCCACGAUCAUCUUCGGACGCAUCCGGUGCUGUAGAGGAUUGUUACUCGGCUCGGUUCUACCCCGACCGGGGUGGUCGCACGGCGGUCUGACAGGUU
rnacentral:snoRNA from 1 species